GAUGAAGAACGCAGCGAAAUGCGAUAAGUAAUGUGAAUUGCAGAAUUCAGUGAAUCAUCGAAUCUUUGAACGCACAUUGCGCCCGCCAGUAUUCUGGCGGGCAUGCCUGUCUGAGCGUCAUUUCAACCCUCAAGCAACUUCUGCUUGGUGUUGGGGAUCGGCCGUCAAACGCCGCCCCCGAAAUCUAUUGGCGAUCUCGCUGUAGCUUCCUAUGCGUAGUAGUAACAUCUCGCAUCUGGAGAGCGGCGCGGUCAUGCCAUAAAACACCCAACUUCUCAGGUUGACCUCAGAUCAGGUAGGAAUACCCGCUGAACUUAAGCAUAUCAAUAAGCGGAGGA
rnacentral:misc_RNA from 1 species